rnacentral:rRNA from 1 species
CACGUAGGAGGCGAGCGUUGUCCGGAAUCAUUGGGCGUAAAGAGCGCGCAGGCGGCUUGGCAAGUCGGGUGUGAAAUCCCGGGGCUCAACCCCGUGACUGCAUCCGAUACUGUCAGGCUAGAGGUAGGUAGGGGAGAUCGGAAUUCCUGGUGUAGCGGUGAAAUGCGUAGAUAUCGGAGGAACACCGGUGGCGAAGGCGACGUCCUGGACCGGCAUUGACGCUGAGGCGGCGAAAGCCAGGGGAGCAAAGCGGGAU